UGGGGAAUAUUGCACAAUGGAGGGAACUCUGAUGCAGCGACGCCGCGUGAGUGAAGAAGUAUUUCGGUAUGUAAAGCUCUAUCAGUAGGGAAGAUAAUGACGGUACCUACAUAAGAAGCCCCGGCUAAAUACGUGCCAGCAGCCGCGGUAAUACGUAGGUGGCAAGCGUUGUCCGGAUUUAUUGGGCGUAAAGCGAGCGCAGGCGGUCAAUUAAGUCUGAUGUGAAAGCCCCCGGCUCAACCGGGGAGGGUCAUUGGAAACUGGUUGACUUGAGUGCAGAAGAGGAGAGUGGAAUUCCAUGUGUAGCGGUGAAAUGCGUAGAUAUAUGGAGGAACACCAGUGGCGAAGGCGACUCUCUGGUCUGUAACUGACGCUGAGGCUCGAAAGCGUGGGUAGCAAACAGG
rnacentral:rRNA from 1 species